UACGUAGGGGGCAAGCGUUGUCCGGAUUUAUUGGGCGUAAAGAGCGUGUAGGCGGCUUGGUAGGUCCGCUGUGAAAACUCGGAGGCUCAACCUCGAGAUGUCGGCGGAAACCACUUGGCUAGAGUCCGGAAGAGGAGAGUGGAAUUCCUGGUGUAGCGGUGAAAUGCGCAGAUAUCAGGAAGAACACCUAUGGCGAAGGCAGCUCUCUGGGACGGUACUGACGCUGAGACGCGAAAGCGUGGGGAGCGAACAGG
rnacentral:rRNA from 1 species